rnacentral:lncRNA from 1 species
AACCCCAUGUUAGUCCGUAGUAUAGUAGCCUACCAUAGAAUGUCACCAUCAUCCAUCCAACAUACGAUGCUUCCAUCACCCACCACCAGAGGGAUAGGCAGAGUCUAUUGGUAACCAAAAACGGAUAAUGAAACGAAUUAUCAAGAUGGACGGUCUAACGGGCACGAUGAUUUCACGGAGUCGACACGAAUGGUCUGGGUCACUGACCAGGACUUAAAGGACAGUGACCCAGGUUUACUAAAAAUCACUUUUCUUGUAAUCCUCAACCAAAUACGGUCGUAAACUGGAAGCGUAAGCUAGUGAUAGUUAAUUAGAACACGAAAAGACGCAGAGGAGUUGAGUGAAGUGGAAUAGGACAGCAGAACCCCGCUGUUUUGGACAGAACUUCGGUUCUGGCGGUUCAGCAACCGACCCCCCCCCCCUUUACGUUGUGGGCAGUUCCGGCGAAAACGCCGUUGACCGAGUCCGUCACCAUACUCGGAGGCUCGGGGAAUGGACGAGGUCCAGAAAUGCCGUCAUCGUCAUCCCAAAAUGGAAGGAGUAGGAGAGAAGCCGACCAUCAUCGUAGACACAGCAAUGGAGAAGGUCGUGGUGAUGGAUGGUGGAAGAAGAGGGGCCCCGAAGAAGUUAGAAGAAAAGGACAGGUUAGAGUAGAUUAAGAAAGUGGGAAAGCUGUGAAAGUAAAGGCCGGAAAAGUCCGGAAUAAAUGUAGUUUGUGUCGAAA